AACGCGAAGAACCUUACCUGGAUUUGACAUCUCUCGACAACACUAGAGAUAGUGCUUUUGUAGAAAUACAACGAGAAGACAGGUGCUGCAUGGCUGUCGUCAGCUCGUGUGGUGACAUGUUGGGUUAAGUCCCGCAACGAGCGCAACCCUUGUCCUUAGUUGCCAGCAUUAAGUUGGGCACUCUAGGGAGACUGCCGUGGUUAACACGGAGGAAGGUGGGGAUGACGUCAAGUCCUCAUGGCCUUUAUGUCCAGGGCGACACACGUGAUACAAUGGGUGAUACAGAGGGAAGCCAAGAGGCAACUCGGAGCUAAUCUCAAAAAGUCACUCUCAGUUCGGAUUGGAGUCUGCAACUCGACUCCAUGAAGCUGGAAUCGCUAGUAAUCGCGGAUCAGCACGCCGCGGUGAAUACGUUCCCGGGCCUUGUACACACCGAUAGC
rnacentral:rRNA from 1 species